AUACGGAGGAUGCAAGCGUUAUCCGGAUUUAUUGGGUUUAAAGGGUGCGUAGGCGGUUUGCUAAGCGGGAGGUGAAAUGCCGGCGCUCAACGUCGGAAGUGCCUCCCGAACUGGUGGACUUGAAUGACUCUGCCGUGGGAGGAAUGUGUAGUGUAGCGGUGAAAUGCUUAGAGAUUACACAGAACACCGAUUGCGAAGGCAUCUCACGAAGGGUUGAUUGACGCUGAGGCACGAAGGCGUGGGGAUCAAACAGGAUUAGAUACCCUGGUAGUCCACGCAGUAAACGAUGAUGGCUAACCGCUGGGCUUAUCAGUUCAGUGGCCAAGCGAAAGCGAUAAGCCAUCCACCUGGGGAGUACGACCGCAAGGUUGAAACUCAAAGGAAUUGACGGGG
rnacentral:rRNA from 1 species